rnacentral:rRNA from 1 species
GGUUUGAUUCUGGCUCAGAUUGAACGCUGGCGGGAUGCUUGCACGCAAAGCUCAAACGGCAGCACGGACUUCGGUCUGGUGGCGAGUGGCGAACGGGUGAGUAAUGUAUCGGAACGUGCCUAGUAGCGGGGAUAACUACGCGAAAGCGUAGCUACUUACGCCGCAUGACUUUCGGGGGGAAAGCGGGGGACCUUCGGGCUUAAUUAGAGCGGCCGACAUCGGAUUAGCUAGUUGGUGGGGGUAACGGCUCACCAAGGCGAUUGAUCCGCAGUUGGUCGGAGAGGACGACCAGCCACACUGGGAUUGAGACAUGGCCCAGACUCCUACGGGAGGCAGCAGUGGGGAAUUUUGGACAAUGGGGGAAACUCCCGAUCCAGCCAUCCCGCGCGUGUGCGAUGAGCAGCCUUCGCAGGUUGUAAAGCACUUUGGCAGGAAAGAAACGGCACGGGAUAAUACCCCGUGCAACUGACGGUACUGCAGAAUAAGCACCGGCUAACUACGUGCCAGCAGCCGCGGUAAUACCGUAGGGUGCAAGCGCAAUCGGAAUUACUGCUGCAAAGCGUGCGCAGGCGGUUCGAAAGAGAUGUGAAAUCCUGUAGCCAUCUUUAAACUGCAUUUUUAACUACCGAGCUAGAGUGUGUCAGAGGAGGUGGAAUUCGCGUAGCAGUGAAAUGCGGUAGAUAAGGCGGAGGAACAUACUGAGAGCAGAAGGCAGCCUCCUGGGAUAACACUGACGCUCAUGUCGAAAGCGUGGGGAGCAAACAGGAUUAGAUACCCUGGUAGUCCACGCCCUAAACGAUGUCAACUAGCUGUUGGGCCUUCGGGCCUUGGUAGCGCAGCUGAUCACAGAAGUUGACUGCCUGGGGAGUACGGUCGCAAGAUUAAAACUCAAAGGAAUUGACGGGGACCCGCACAAGCGGAUGAUGUGGAUUAAUUCGAUGCAACGCGGAAAACCUUACCUACCCUUGACAUGUCUGGAAUCCCGAAGAGAUUUGGGAGUGCUCGCAAGAGAACCGGAACACAGGUGCUGCAUGGCUGAGCCGUCAGCUCGAAGUCGUGAGAUGCUGGGUUAAGUCCCGCAACGAGCGCAACCCUUGUCAUUAGUUGCUACGAAAGGGCACUCUAUCGAGACUGCCGGUGACAAACCGAGGAAGGUGGGGAUGACGUCAAGUCCUCAUAUGGCCUCUUGCGGGGUAGGCUUCACACGCUCAUGGAAUGGUCGGGACAGAGGUAUCGCCAACCCGCGAGGGGGAGCCAAUCCCAGAAACCCGAUCGGGGUCUGAUCGCAGUCCGUGGUGUUCCGACCUGGUGCAGUUGAAUCGCUGGUACACCGCGGAUCAGCAUGUCGCGGUGAAUAUAUUCUGGCCGCAGGCGACCACUGCUUGUUGCGCACAGGAGUGGUUUUUACUGUGAAGUAAGUUAAGCCUAACCGUAAGGAGGAAAGAUUACCAUUGUAGAUUCAUGACCGGGGUGAAGUCGUAACAAGGUAA